AAAACAAGGGCAACAAAAGGAAAUUAAUUAAUUAAUUGUAUUAAUUAAUUUUUAUUUUAUUUAUUUAUUAAUUUUUUAAUUUUUUUAUUAAUUUUUUAUUUUGUGGAUUUUAUUUAUUGAGAGGAGAGGGAGAGAACUAAAGCAUUACUCUGACACCUGAGAUGCCAGGGUUCAAACUGGGGGCCUCAUACUUGAGAGUCUAAUGCUAUAUUCACUGAACCACCUUCUGGGUCUCUAUAUAGGCUCUUUACAUUUUCUCUCUCUUUUUUUUAAAAUUUAUUUUUUAUUUAAGAAAGGAUAAAUUAACAAAACCAUAGGGUAGAAAGGGGUACAACUCCACACAAUUCCCACCACCCAAUCUCCAUAUCCCAUCCCCUCCCCUGAUAGCUUUCCCAUUCUCUAUCCCUCUGGGAGCAUGGACCCAAGGUUGUUGUGGGUUGCAGAAGGUGGAAGGUCUGGCUUCUGUAAUUGCUUCCCCGCUGAACAUGGACGUUGACUGGUCGGUCCAUACUCCCAGUCUGCCUCUCUCUUUCCCUAGUAGGGUGGGUCUCUGGGGAAGUGGAGCUCCAGGACACAUUGGUGGGGGUCUAUAUUUUCUCUUUCUUUCUCUUCCUUGCUUUCUUCCUUCCUUCCUUUCUUUCUGUCUCCGGGGUUAUUGCUGGGGCUUGGUACUAGCACUACGAAUCCACUGCUCCUAGAGGCUAUUUUUUCCCCUUUUGUUGCCUUUGUUGUUUAUCAUUGUUGUUGCUAUUAUUAUUGUUAUUGCUGUUGUUGUUGGAUAGGACAGAGAAAUCGAGAGAGGAGGGGAAGACAGAGAUGGAGAGAGAAAGACACACACCUGAAGACCUGCUUCACGGCUUGUGAAGCGACCCCCCCCCUGCAGGUGGGGAACCAGGGCUCUAACCGGGUGGGUACACCUGUCCUUGUGCUUUGUGCCAUGAGCGCUUAACCCCCAGCCCUACCGUUGGGCCCCCAGGCUCUUUACAUUUUCUAUACUUAUAAGAUUGUAGAAGAUAUUGGUCUCUAAUACUUUGCCUUUUGGAAUGUAUUUGCAUGCCUAGACUUUUUGGAAAAGUUCAAAACUUUGUUACUGCAUGUUCAGAUUUAUUGUUUAGAAGUCCCUUUCUAUUUGUCUUACUGUGAAACUACAUAUUAUAAAACCUUUCAACUUUGAAGUGCAUAUAUUACAACAUAAUGCAUCAUGUCACUUAAGCAUAGUCAAGAAUAAUUGUAUUUCAUGUCACAAAUCUUAAAGACUAGAUAUCUACCUAGGUUGGCCAAUACCAUUAGAUAAGCUAAAAAUUGUUUUCAUAUUUAUGUUCAAAUGUUGAGGCUAUUUAAGUAAAGCUUUGCUUUAGAAAAGGCUUCAUAUGAUGUAUUGGCUACUGUAAUGGUUUGACUGCAUUCUGACUUUAUAAAAAAAAAGUGUUCCUAGAAAAGUCCACAGAAUCAGUGAUUAUGCAUUGCCAUAUUUUCAUAGUUAUUUUCAUUUUUACAUUAAAAACACCUUCCUUUCCAGAAGAUGUUAGCUGACAAGUAGGAGUUAUCAAGGAAGCAUUAUAUCUGUUUCUGAAUAGGUAAACCUCCCGCACUGCUCUUAAAGUUCAGAGUUGGUCACAUACAGGCCUUAAAAUGCAAUCAAAGUCAAAUAAAUUCAGUAAUUUAUCCCCAUAAAAAUAUUUCAUUGAAGCUUCUCUAGGGGGUGUUUUUUUUUAACAGUACCCCUAAAAAAUCAGCUGAACAUUCCAUAAAGUUAAGAAAUAGGGAGCCAGGUGGUGGUGCAGUGGGUUAAGCGCACAUGGCGCAACCUGUGUAAGGAUCCUGGUUUGAGCCCCGGGCUCCCCACCUGCAGGAGAUUUGCUUCACAGGUGGUUAAGCAGGUCUGCAGGCGUCUUACUCUUUCUCUCUCCUCUCUGUCUUCCCCUCCUUUCUCAGUUUCUUUCUGUCCUAUCCAACAAUGACAGCAAUAACAAAAAUGAUGAUAAAACAACAGGGGCAACAAAAGGGAAAAAAAAAAAAAAUUUAAAAA